rnacentral:rRNA from 1 species
AGAGUUUGAUCCUGGCUCAGAUUGAACGCUGGAGGUAUGCUUAACACAUGCAAGUCGAACGCGAACGUUUCUUCGGAAACAAGUAGAGUGGCGGACGGGUGAGUAACGCGUAGGAAUAUACCUAGUAGUGGGGGAUAACAUGGAGAAAUCCAUGCUAAUACCGCAUAUGUCCCAUGGGAUAAAGAGGGCCUCUUCUUGAAAGCUCUUGCUAUUAGAUUAGCCUGCGUCGGAUUAGUUUGUUGGUAGGGUAAUGGCCUACCAAGACUACGAUCCGUAGCUGGUCUGAGAGGAUGAUCAGCCACACUGGGACUGAGACACGGCCCAGACUCCUACUGGAGGCAGCAGUGGGGAAUAUUGGACAAUGAACGCAAGUUUGAUCCAUCAAUACCUCGUGUGUGAAGAAGGCCUUUAGGGUGUAAAGCACUUUUCAUUGGGACGAAAAGUUUAAGUUUAAUUCGCUUAGACCUUGACGGUACCUUUAGAAAAAGCACCGGCUUAAUUCGUGGCAGCAGCCGCGGUUAUACGGAAGGUGCAAGCGUUAAUCGGAAAUCCUGGGCGUAAAGCCCGCCUAGGUGGGUUUUUUUACCCGCAGUGUAAACCCCUGGGCUUAACCUUGGAACUGCCUUUGAAACUGGUAUACUAAAUUAUGGGAGAAGGGCAGUGGAAAUUUCCCAUGUUCCGGGGAAAAUGCCUAAAAAU